rnacentral:tRNA from 1 species
GAUUGCGUGGCCUAAUUGAUAAGGCGCUCACCUCCGGAGAGGGAUUUUGUGUGUUCGAGUCCCAUCGUGAUUG